rnacentral:rRNA from 1 species
CCUACGGGUGGCAGCAGUGAGGAAUCUUGGUCAAUGGGCGUAAGCCUGAACCAGCCAAGUCGCGUGAGGGAUGAAGGUUCUAUGGAUCGUAAACCUCUUUUAUAAGGGAAUAAAGUGUGGGACGUGUCCUGUUUUGUAUGUACCUUAUGCAUAAGGAUCGGCUAACUCCGUGACAGCAGCCGCGGUAAUACGGAGGCUCCGAGCUUUAUCCGGAUUUAGUGGGUUUUAAGGGUGCGUAGGCGGCCGUUUAAGUCAGCGGUGAAAGUUUGUGGCUCAACCAUAGGAUUGCCGUUGAAACUGGGAGGCUUGAGUAGGUGUGAGGCAGGCGGAAUGCGUGGUGUAGCGGUGAAAUGCUUAGAUAUCACGCAGAACCCCGAUUGCGAAGGCAGCCUGCCAAGCCAUGACUGACGCUGAUGCACGAAAGCGUGGGGAUCAAACAGGAUUAGAUACCCCAGUAGUC